rnacentral:rRNA from 1 species
GACGAACGCUGGCGGCGUGCUUAACACAUGCAAGUCGAACGGAAAGGCCCUGCUUUUGUGGGGUGCUCGAGUGGCGAACGGGUGAGUAACACGUGAGUAACCUGCCCUUGACUUUGGGAUAACUUCAGGAAACUGGGGCUACUACCGGAUAGGAGCUCCUGCUGCAUGGUGGGGGUUGGAAACUUUCGGCGGUUGGGGAUGGACUCGCGGCUUAUCAGCUUGUUGGUGGGGUAGUGGCUUACCAAGGCUUUGACGGGUAGCCGGCCUGAGAGGGUGACCGGCCACAUUGGGACUGAGGUACGGCCCAGACUCCUACGGGAGGCAGCAGUGGGGAAUAUUGCACAAUGGGCGGAAGCCUGAUGCAGCAACGCCGCGUGCGGGAUGACGGCCUUCGGGUUGUAAACCGCUUUCGCCUGUGACGAAGCGUGAGUGACGGUAAUGGGUAAAGAAGCACCGGCUAGCUACGUG